CAAGGAGUAGUUUAAAAUAGAAUUUCAGCUUUGGGUGUUGAAGGUGGGGAGUGUAUCCUUCUCCUUG
rnacentral:tRNA from 1 species